rnacentral:rRNA from 1 species
GAUGAACGCUGGCGGCGUGCCUAAUACAUGCAAGUCGAACGAAACUUCUUUAUCACCGAGUGCUUGCACUCACCGAUAAAGAGUUGAGUGGCGAACGGGUGAGUAACACGUGGGCAACCUGCCCAAAAGAGGGGGAUAACACUUGGAAACAGGUGCUAAUACCGCAUAACCAUAGUUACCGCAUGGUAACUAUGUAAAAGGUGGCUAUACUACCGCUUUUGGAUGGGCCCGCGGCGCAUUAGCUAGUUGGUAGGGUAAAGGCUUACCAAGGCAAUGAUGCGUAGCCGAAUUGAGAGGUUGGUCGGCCACAUUGGAACUGAGACACGGCCCAAACUCCUACGGGAGGCAGCAGUAGGGAAUCUGCCACAGUGGGCGAAAGCCUGAUGGAGCAACGCCGCGUGGGUGAAGAAGGUCUUCGGAUCGUAAAACCCUGUUGUUAGAGAAGAAAGUGCGUGGGAGUAACUGUUCACGUUUCGACGGUAUCUAACCAGAAAGCCACGGCUAACUACGUG